rnacentral:rRNA from 1 species
GAUGAACGCUGGCGGUGCGCCUAAUGCAUGCAAGUCGAGCGACGCACGUCCAGUCCGUAAGGACAGGGCAUGACGGAGCGGCGAACGGGUGAGUAACACGUGAGCAACCUGCCCCACAGACCGGGAUAGCCCAGGGAAACCUGGAUUAAUACCGGAUACCCUCGUAGGACCGCAUGGUCCAUCGAGGAAAAGCCUUUGUGCUGUGGGAUGGGCUCGCGACUUAUCAGUUAGUUGGUGGGGUAACGGCCUACCAAGACAAUGACGAGUAGCUGGUCUGAGAGGACGAUCAGCCACACUGGAACUGAGACACGGUCCAGACUCCUACGGGAGGCAGCAGCAGGGAAUCUUGCGCAAUGGGCGAAAGCCUGACGCAGCGACACCGCGUGGGGGAUGAAGGCCUUCGGGUUGUAAACCCCUUUCAGGAGGGAAGAAAUUGACGGUACCUCCACAAGAAGGACCGGCCAACUACG